CUUCUUCUUCUUUUCACCAAAAUGGCUCCGAAAGCGAAGCGAAGCUCAAGCUAUCUCUAGUUACACGCAACUGUAUCUACUUGUUAACAAGUCAUCAAACUCUGUAUGUAGCCAAAAUCCUAGAUAUGUUAAUCUUUAAUGUUCUAGCAUGUAAUAUCGCAAAACGAGUUCCAAUGGUAUCGUCAAUCUACAUAUAUUAGUCCACAACAUUCCACAGUCUCAACGGAAUUACACUUGUACUGCAUCAUACGUGUACAUACCGUGUAUGGUGCAGGAUUGUUCGGCAGGAUAUUUCCUUGACUAACAACAAAGUUUGAAUCGUAAUCGCAAGCUCUUAUUUUAAGGAAGAUGUAUCUGUACCCUAAAAUUCGUAACUCAGACUUGAAAUAUAAUUUUUCGAUGACCAUAAUUUUAUUGUUAGUAAACAUCAGCAAGAACUAAUGAAAUGAAAAUUUAUCUCUACACGCUUAUACUGUCCGAUGAUUGCAAACGGAGGACGAUAUAUUGACUACGAAUAUACAGAGAUGUACUUCGUUUCUCAAAGUCUGGAAAUUGGGUAACUUCGUGAAGAUUUCCGAUGUAACGAAGAUAUUCAGCACCAGGAAAAGAUACGAGUUUUUCGGGUGUCGAACUCAUUGCGAUAGUUACUUGUAGACAGGGGAGGAAAAUUGCUGCAGCGGUGUCAUCUGAGGGGUGGAGUGGGAAGAAUGGGCAGAUUCGACACUUGUUGCACUGACUGCACAGAAACUGUGAAAACUGAAAAGAAGAUACAGGGCUGAAACGGUAGCUGCAUUUUUCAAGAAAUAGAAAGUUCAAGGGAAAGCCCGUGAAAACAAGGGAAAACUAUCAAGAGUCAAAUACGAACACGACAAAGACGACGGCACGCCCGAUGCGAGAUGAAACAAAAUUUAAAAAACUGCAGUUUUUGGCGCGAGAUUUUAUGAAGAAAAAAUUUGGUAAAGGGUUUCAUCCAGUUUUGGGGUAGAAAAAAAAAGUCCAGGGUGACAGGGUCAUGUUUUUUAGUACCACGUACACGAGCAUUAUGUUUGCGUAUAAUUUUUUCGCAAAUUAUGUUGAACACGUGUGCAGGUAUUUCUUCAGGCUGGCUUGUAUAUUGAUUCAAACAGAGCGGAAAGAAAAAUGCUCCAAACACUGCCAGAAUCACUAAUUUGAACUUGAGCAAAUUUUAUUAAUCUUUUUUUUUGCACCAAAAAAAUGAAACAGGUUGAACUGCAUACGAAGUUGUAAGCUUGUGACUCAUUGCGACAUCAGAGGUAUCCAUAUACAUGUAUAUUUACGUGAUGUGCAAUUACUUCGUUACGUAUACAAAAAGUAGUUGGACAGUCAUAUUCUCAAUAAUAUCAAAAAAUGUCCCUUUUUUUAUCUCCACAGAGUACACAGAGGAUGAAGGAGCUGUCGCUUUCCGAUAAAAAACAAUAAUCAAAUUUGUACGUCAUAUAUUUUUAUAAAAACUAUAAAAUGGUGUCAAUCAUCAAUAAAGUUUACAGACAUUGCAGAUAACUCUAGUCUCGACCAAAGCUAUCCCCCGUAGAGAUUGGAUAGCAAUUUUAAAGUGACUUUCUGGUGUUGUAUGUAUAAAUUAAAUUUUUUAUCAUCAUAACACGCGGACAGAUGUAUUUUAUUUAAUAACCCUGCGACACAAUUAAUGCGUACAUCCUCGUCAUGAAGUGUGCAUCAGGCAAUGCAUUCAGCAUUCGAACAUAGUUACGGUUGUUCAACUGUAGCUAAUUUCUUGAGCCGCGUCCUCGUCUUGCAGAGAUGACGUAACGUCUGGAAAAUACGUCACUGGUGCCAUGACACGUGCUGCCGCCCAUUGUUGAAGUUUCAGAAUCGCUGUUGGCAAGUGUUUGAACUCGACAAUUGAAAUUGAUCCAAUUGGUCGAGCCUUUAAACAGAAUAUGCGAGACGUCGUUGUCGGCCAAUCAACGACGAGGACAGACGGACGCGCGGCACCGUUACGGUACGGUCGAUUAUCAAGUUUUUUCAAAGCCCAUAAUUCGUUAGUAGCGGUUUAUGCGUUCACUUGAAGGUUUUGAAUAAAUUUAAGGGCGAUGUGUCGAAUAAUAAAUGUGGAAAGCACUGUUGUCAAGUGAGAUUGAUGGGUUGGCAGUUCUUCUGUGUCGAUUCGGGCGCUUUUCACGAUGCGGCGGACGUCUCGGAAACUAAUCGGCAUGGAUCGCGCUCCAUGUUCGGCCGAGGAAGCAAUGCGGUGUCCCCGCGGAUAGGGCGUGCAGUUCUCGUGUAGUACCUCGCCGUUUUUUUCGCGAAUAGUGAAGGUGUCGUGAAUCGGCCAGUGUCCGGGACAACAAUAAAUCGUGAAAUCCCGGUCGGAUCGUCGAGUGUUUAUAAAGUGAUUUGUGAAUAUUGUGGAUGGUGUGCGGUUACGACGCGAAUGAGGUGAAUGCUCGGCGGCAGUGUGCGGUGCAGAAAACCGCCAAAAUUCUCCUUUACAUAUGAAAAAUUACAAAUUAUCAAACGGGGAGAAGCUGUUUCUGGUGUUUUUGUGAUCUGGAUGUGCCAGUGCGCGAUACUGGAGGUGUUCAACGCAUUUGUUAUUAUUUUGCUGCGGUGCUUUUGACCCGAAAGCGGGCGAGUUCACUCGAGCCCGUCUAGAGGGGUGUCCGGUGCCUCGUCUGCAACGGCUGCCCACGGCACGCAACUUCGAUAUUCCCUGGUAACGCUUCGACACCGAGGAAUCUGCUUCGAUAUUUCGGUUCCACUGAGGAUUAUUCGAUAUUUGCCGACUACCGGAAAAGAGUAAGUGUGGAGAAAGAUGCAAAUGUGGAGAUAUCGCGUUGCCGAGAUAAUUAGCAACAGAAACCGAAACGGAAGCGAAUUUACCGAUAAUAACGAUUUGCGGACGAUCAAUAACAGCAAUUAAGAAAAUUUAAAGCUGCAUUACAAAAACCAACAAAAAAAAAAAAACUCGUCGAACUCAACAACUUGAACCGAAUCUAUAAACAAUAAAAACAAAAA
rnacentral:lncRNA from 1 species